UGGGGAAUAUUGCGCAAUGGGCGAAAGCCUGACGCAGCAACGCCGUGUGAGGGAUGAAGGCUUUCGGGUCGUAAACCUCUGUCGGAAGGGAAGAACGGGCAUUGGUCUAAUAGGCCUUUGUUUUGACGGUACCUUUAGAGGAAGCACCGGCUAACUCCGUGCCAGCAGCCGCGGUAAUACGGAGGGUGCAAGCGUUAUUCGGAAUUACUGGGCGUAAAGCGCACGUAGGCGGCCUUGUAAGUCAGGGGUGAAAUCCCACGGCUCAACCGUGGAACUGCCUUUGAAACUGCAGGGCUUGAAUCCUGGAGAGGGCGGCGGAAUUCCUGGUGUGGGAGUGAAAUCCGUAGAUAUCAGGAGGAACACCGGUGGCGAAGGCGGCCACCUGGACAGGUAUUGACGCUG
rnacentral:rRNA from 1 species